GUUGAAUUGUGUUGCUACUGUCGAAUUAUGGCUCGUUUUCUUAAGAGUUCCCUCUUCUUUUGGCUGCCGCUAACAUUGCUUUGUGAAGUUUGAGGUAUUGUUAGACUUCAACGUAAAUAAGUUAUUACCGUAACAUCCCGGUUUUAAAAGAAAAAAUCGUAUUUAAUCACACACAGUUGGUGAUGGUGUAUAAGCUGAUGUUGCUACUGCACGUGUCCCCUCUGCCAGGGCUGGUCCAGCUAACUACCAGGUGUGGUUCUCAUGGAGCUAUCUUCUGCAGCUAGCGCUGAAUUGUCAGUGGUUAGGUUACUUAAGCUCCAACCCAAGGGUGCGCGAUGGAAGCUGAGCGAGCUAACCGCUAGCCCGCGAGCUAAUAGCGCUAGCUCGCGAGCUAAUAGCGCUAGCUCGCGAGCUAAUAGCGAGCGCCAGCACAGACCUGUUUUAAUUUAAUUCUGCAUGUAUUGAGUUCUCAACACGUAACUUAGAAUUUGCAAUGUCAUCCUCACAGUUGUACAGAAGUGACAACACUGUUGAUCGCCAUCUCUACAAUUCAGAUAAAAUGAACAGAAAGAAUGGGCCUGUCUCCAGCUCCACCAUUAGACGGAGGGUCCGUCAAGAUGUUUUGACUACAUCACUGUGAUUGAUGGGAAACUGAAUACAACUUUGACUGUUCAGUAAAGUUUCUUCUCUUCAAUGUGUAUAACACGCCUAUUAUUGCCGUUUAAUCUCUUUUUUUUACGGUAUACCUCGUGUUGUCAAACACACAUUUUCAUACUCCUGGUUAUUAAGAACUUUAAUAGUUGCAAAAUAUUAUUUUUUUCAAAGUUCUUGGAACAGAAGGUUAUAUUUCUGUGACAAGUGACACUGUUUGUUUCUUUCCUCUGUAAUUCAGGAUGUUCCACUUCAUAGAAUUCUUGACUAACAAAAUGGUAGCAGUAGUGCCAUAAAGCUAUACCAGCUUUGUGGCACUACUGCUACCGUUUUGGCCGAAUUAUCCGAGGGACGAAAGGGUGGACAAGGCUGUCAGAAGCGCCGAACAACCUGGACCAGACUGGCAGACACAUGACGUCAGAGUAAUUGGAUCAUGCGAUAAUUACUUGGUGGAAAUAUGUCUUGAGACACAUCAGAUCUCCAGUCAGAAGAGGAGGCAAUUCCUAAAAAGAGGAAGCCAAUGCCGGUCCAUUUCUAUGGAGACUCGGAUGGAGACAGUGAAAUGAAAAUUCCCCCCACAAAACAGGGGUCCAACCACUAGCGGGACAGUUGUCCCUCCAAUCAUUGCCUCCUCCUAACUAUUCCAUGUACUCCAUCACCAGCAGGACAGCGAACACGCCAGGGGGACACGCCCACCUGGCGAGGGGCGUGGUGUGGUUCAGACACCAUUGCCUGCUGUGCUGUUCCAGUUCAAAUCCUAGGCAUGCUGGAGACAAUUACAGAGGUGAGAGACCCGGUUCCGUUUCCGUGUACCACAAUGGAGGAAGUGGACCUUUUUGAGCAACGGCUCAAAGAUCCCGUCAACAUUCUAAUGAGUGAUGCCGUCAGAAAGAAUCAUGCCACACAUGCAUCCACUGAUGAACAGAUUCUAAAGCAUGCCAUUAGGUGGUUCAACCUGGCAGCAAACCGGGGUAGCUCCAGGAGGCGUGCUACUGUCGACAUCCCCCACACUGAACAGAAUUAAAAAUAUAUAUUUAUAUUUUUAUAUAUAAUAUAUA